rnacentral:rRNA from 1 species
UAAUACCCCCAUAUACCCUAAACCCUUCACCCAUAUUGAAUGAUCCCAUAUAAGUAUGGGAGCCACUAUGCUAAAACUAGUAACAAGAAAUUCAAUUUCUCCAAAAUGCAAGCAUAAACCAACACGGACUUACCAUUGGUAAUUAACAUAAAUGAACUUACUAUAAUAACACACCUAGAAAACUUUAUAAUUUCUCAUGUUAACCUAACACAAGAGCAUUAAUGGAAAGAUUAAAAGAAAGAGAAGGAACUCGGCAAACCUUAACCCCGCCUGUUUACCAAAAACAUCGCCUCUUGACAAACUAUAAGAGGUCCAGCCUGCCCAGUGACACAGUUUAACGGCCGCGGUAUCCUGACCGUGCGAAGGUAGCAUAAUCACUUGUUCUUUAAAUAGGGACUAGUAUCAACGGCAUCACGAGGGUUAUACUGUCUCCUCUCUCCAAUCAGUGAAACUGAUCUCCCCGUGAAGAAGCGGGGAUAAAUAUAUAAGACGAGAAGACCCCAUGGAGCUUUAAACCCAACAGCAAUUUUCCCCACAAAAUUCUGCAUAGCACGAAAAUUCUGCCUGUUGGUUUUGGGUUGGGGUGACCGCGGAGAAAAACUAAACCUCCACGAUGAACGGAAUUAACUCCUAAUUCAAGAGCCACUGCUCUAACAAUCAAUAAAUUGACAUAAACUGAUCCGAUAAUCGAUCAACGGACCAAGUUACCCUGGGGAUAACAGCGCAAUCUACUUCAAGAGCUCCUAUCGACAAGUGGGUUUACGACCUCGAUGUUGGAUCAGGGUAUCCCAGUGGUGCAGCCGC